rnacentral:rRNA from 1 species
AGAGUUUGAUCCUGGCUCAGGAUGAACGCUAGCGGGAGGCCUAACACAUGCAAGCUGAGCGGUAGAGUCUCUUCGGAGACUUGAGAGCGGCGUACGGGUGCGGAACACGUGUGCAACCUGCCUUUAUCAGGGGGAUAGCCUUUCGAAAGGAAGAUUAAUACCCCAUAAUAUAUAGAGUGGCAUCACUUUAUAUUGAAAACUGAGGUGGAUAAAGAUGGGCACGCGCAAGAUUAGAUAGUUGGUGAGGUAACGGCUCACCAAGUCGAUGAUCUUUAGGGGGCCUGAGAGGGUGAUCCCCCACACUGGUACUGAGACACGGACCAGACUCCUACGGGAGGCAGCAGUGAGGAAUAUUGGACAAUGGGUUAGCGCCUGAUCCAGCCAUCCCGCGUGAAGGACGACGGCCCUAUGGGUUGUAAACUUCUUUUGUACAGGGAUAAACCUAUUUACGUGUAAAUAGCUGAAGGACUG